CAGGACGAACGCUGGCGGCGUGCCUAAUACAUGCAAGUCGAACGGUCUUUCUAUGGAAGCUUGCUUCCACUGAGAAGAUAGUGGCGAACGGGUGAGUAACACGUGGGUAACCUGCCCAUAAGAGGGGGGAUAACAUCCGGAAACGGGUGCUAAUACCGCAUAGUUUUCUUGGUCGCAUGAUCGGGAAAGGAAAGACGGCCUUUGUGCUGUCGCUUAUGGAUGGACCCGCGGCGUAUUAGUUAGUUGGUGAGGUAACGGCUCACCAAGACGAUGAUACGUAGCCGACCUGAGAGGGUGAUCGGCCACAUUGGGACUGAGACACGGCCCAAACUCCUACGGGAGGCAGCAGUAGGGAAUCUUCCGCAAUGGACGAAAGUCUGACGGAGCAACGCCGCGUGAGUGAAAGAAGGUUUUCGGAUCGUAAAACUCUGUUGUCAGAGAAGAACAAGUUGGAGAGUAACUGCUCCAGCCUUGACGGUAUCUGACCAGAAAGCCACGGCUAACUACGUGCCAGCCGCCGC
rnacentral:rRNA from 1 species